GCCGUCCGGGUCUGUGGUUGAAAGUCCAAGCCAGCUGUGGGCGAAAGGAUCCACGUAAGCUGCCUGCAAGGAACAGGGCAGUGAUCAUGGCACAGUUUAGAAGUAAGUCCUCCGGAAACCGGAUCAAGGCGAGUGUGGGGUCAAAGACCAGGUCAGCCGGACGGC
rnacentral:ncRNA from 1 species